rnacentral:rRNA from 1 species
AUGACGUCAAGUCAGCAUGGCCUUUAUAUCCUGGGCUACACACACGCUACAAUGGGAAGGGACAAUAGGUUGCGAAGCCGCGAGGCGGAGCCAAUCCAGCAAAACUUCCCUCAGUUCAGAUUGCAGGCUGCAACCCGCCUGCAUGAAGUUGGAGUUGCUAGUAAACGCAGGUCAGCCAUACUGCGUUGAAUACGUUCCCGGGGCUU